UUAAUACUCCCUCUGUCCGGAAAUACUUGUCGGAGAAAUAUAUGUAUCUAGACAUAUUUUAGUUCUAGAUACAUUCAUUUCUCCGACAAGUAUUUUGGGACGGAGGGAGUACUUU
rfam:Triticum aestivum genome assembly, contig: Triticum_aestivum_CS42_TGACv1_scaffold_221071_3B